CAAUAGCGUAUAUUAAAGUUGUUGCGGUUAAAAAGCUCGUAGUUGGAUUUCUGUUGAAGACCGGCGGUCCACCUUUUGGGUGAGUAUCUGCUUGGGCUUCGGCAUCUUCUCGAAAAACGUUGCGGCGCUUGAUUGCGUGGUGCGGAGUUCGGGACUUUUACUUUGAGGAAAUUAGAGUGUUCACGGCAGGCAUACGCCUUGAAUAUAUUAGCAUGGAAUAAUAAUAUAGGAUCUUGGUUCUAUUUUGUUGGUUUCUAGAGCUAAGAUAAUGAUUAAUAGGGACAAUUGGGGGCAUUCGUAUUAUACCGUCAGAGGUGAAAUUCUUGGAUUGGUAUACGACGAACUACUGCGAAAGCAUUUGCCAAGGAUGUUUUCAUUGAUCAAGAACGAAAGUAAGGGGAUCGAAGAUGAUUAGAUACCGU
rnacentral:rRNA from 1 species